UCUCUCUCUCUCUCUCUCUCUCUCUCUCUCUCUCUCUCUCUCUCGCGUAUCAUCUCGAAACAAGGGGAGCAAGCAUUGGGCGAACGCGCAGUACUGACCCAGUUGAUAGAACCGCAAACGAUAGAUCCGCCGCUGCGUGUCGACGACGUCGAGAGGCGAAAGGGCGAGGGGGAAAGCGCCGCACCGCGCACAGCGUAACAGCGAUGAGUCACUUUCCGCGUGCGUACGACGACACGUCGAUCUUUGCACCCUCCGUGCCGCUCUGUCUCGUUCCUCUCCCUCCUCCCCCUCCUCUUCCUCUUCAGUACCAUUGCACCGCCGCCGCCUUUCCCACAUUUCCCGGCGGUAUGUGCGCGACGCGCGUGCACACGUGACAUUUCGAGUAUAUCUCGAAUUAAACCGUAAACAUCGUAGUACAACCUUCGCGGCCGCGCGGGCGCCAACGCCGUCGGUGUCAAUGAUCUCUGCCUGCCACUUAUUGAAUCGCGCGCUCGCGCCUCGUUCGUGUCACUGCACCGUGUGUACGUGUGCGCUUGUGUUUCGCCGGGGAUGUGUUCUUCCGUCACUAUAGGGUGACCGAAAAGUCGCGCGACACCUGUUAUUUCCUGUUAUCACCGCGGGGAUUAACAAUUGGGCUUCGAGAGGGAUUGACGAUUGGUCUCUUUGUGUGGCAUAUAGAAGAAUGCAAUACGAUUUAAACGGCAAACAAUUCGAACGAAUCGCAGCUAAAAAUGUUAGAACGAUUUAAGAGAGCAGCGGAAAAAUGUAUGAUCAUAUAUCAUCCAGAAGUGAGGGAAGGAGAAAAAGAAGAUAUGGAAAUAGUUAAUAAGUAGAGAGAAGGACACACAAAAGACAGUAUGAAGAAGGCAGGAUUAUAAAUAAGAAAAUAAGUACUGGUUACAAGAGGAUAGUCGGUUGUGUUUAUUUUGAGAGAGUAAACAUAGUGUAGAACAUUAUAUAAGGGAGUGUCAGGACGUAAAAGGAUGGUUCGCGAAUUUAAGUAUGGACGAAAAAAGGAAAUUAUGAAUGAGGAUUUGGGGAGAGAAUUUAGAUAGGAUUAAAGGUAAGACACUGAAGAAACUGUGGAAAGAAAGAAAGAGAGAAUUGAAGAAAUGAAGUAAAAUAAGGAAGGAAAAAGAAAAAAAGAUUGACCUCAGCCAUUCAUUGAUCUUACAAUUAGAGCCAAAAUUCCUCGCCGAUACCAGGGACAACAAGCACAUCAAAUGUUGGGAGCAGCAGGCGUCAUAUGAAGCAAAAAAGGUAAGAAUUGCGAAGAGACAAGAGAAAACUAAUAAAUGAAUUUUUUGAAGCUGAGGAAGAUUUCUUAUACGGUCCUGGCAUAGCUGACUAAGGGUAAGUUAUUGGAAUUAUUUAUUAUCCCCCUCAAAAGUGCAUGAAGAACUUUGAAUGCGUUUCUUUCUAAACGACAUUUUUCAAAUCGGACGCCAUGAUUUCUCAAAUCUACUGAGCCGAUUGAUUUGAAAUUUUACACAAACCUAAUGCAUAUAUGUAGUUAUCGCGUCAACUAUAAUCUUUUUGAUAUCUUCAAAAUUACUAUUUUUUCGGACUGCAAAAUGUUAAAAUUUUAUAAUAAAAAUUACUCUUUAAGAACCGUCAUUUUGUCAAUUUUUUUUUUCAAAUUAAUUUAUUCUAGUUCACGCGAUAACCACAUUUAUUAGGAACAAAAAAAUGUAUGUAUUUCAGAUGAGCAGGACGGUAGCAAUCGUAGCGCUCGAUCGAGGAGAAUUGCAAAAUCGUACUUUCUUCGACAAUUUGUAUACUUUUCAAUAAAAAAAUUUUGAAAAAAAUUAAGACGCUUUCUCAAAGAUGAAUAAAUGUAAGU
rnacentral:lncRNA from 13 species